rnacentral:rRNA from 1 species
UACGUAGGGGGCGAGCGUUGUCCGGAUUUAUUGGGCGUAAAGAGCUCGUAGGCGGUUCGAUAAGUCGGAUGUGAAAUCUCCACGCUCAACGUGGAGAGGCCAUUCGAUACUGUCGUGACUCGAGUCCGGUAGGGGAGUGUGGAAUUCCCGGUGUAGCGGUGAAAUGCGCAUAUAUCAGGAGGAACACCGGUGGCGAAGGCGGAUCUCUGGGCCGAUACUGACGCUGAGGAGCGAAAGCUAGGGGAGCGAAUGGG